rnacentral:tRNA from 1 species
GUAGUUAUGUCAGAAUUAUAUGAGUUAGCUUUAAGCGCUAAUUAUGGGCAUUUAGCCCUAACUACU